UACGUAGGGUGCGAGCGUUAAUCGGAAUUACUGGGCGUAAAGCGUGCGCAGGCGGUGCUGUAAGACCGAUGUGAAAUCCCCGGGCUUAACCUGGGAACUGCAUUGGUGACUGCAGCGCUGGAGUAUGGCAGAGGGGGGUGGAAUUCCGCGUGUAGCAGUGAAAUGCGUAGAGAUGUGGAGGAACACCGAUGGCGAAGGCAGCCCCCUGGGCCAAUACUGACGCUCAUGCACGAAAGCGUGGGGAGCAAACAGG
rnacentral:rRNA from 1 species